AACUGCACCUCCAUCAGUGGCGAUCUCCACAUCCUGCCGGUGGCAUUUAGGGGGACUCCUUCACACAUACUCCUCCUCUGGAUCCACAGGAACUGGAUAUUCUGAAAACCGUAAAGGAAAUCACAGGUUUUUGCUGAUUCAGGCUUGGCCUGAAAACAGGACGGACCUCCAUGCCUUUGAGAACCUAGAAAUCAUACGCGGCAGGACCAAGCAACAUGCACUGGGCCAGGUCUUGAAGGCUGUCCAACGAAU
rnacentral:lncRNA from 1 species